UGCUGGGGGGAUUAGUGGCGAACGGUGAGUAACACGUGAGUAACCUGCCCUUGACUCUGGGAUAAGCGCUGGAAACGGCGUCUAAUACCGGAUACGAGCUUCAGCCGCAUGGCUAGGAGUUGGAAAGAAUUUCGGUCAAGGAUGGACUCGCGGCCUAUCAGCUAGUUGGUGAGGUAAUGGCUCACCAAGGCGACGACGGGUAGCCGGCCUGAGAGGGUGACCGGCCACACUGGGACUGAGACACGGCCCAGACUCCUACGGGAGGCAGCAGUGGGGAAUAUUGCACAAUGGGCGAAAGCCUGAUGCAGCAACGCCGCGUGAGGGAUGACGGCCUUCGGGUUGUAAACCUCUUUUAGUAGGGAAGAAGCGAAAGUGACGGUACCUGCAGAAAAAGCACCGGCUAACUACGUGCCAGCAGCCGCGGUAAUACGUAGGGUGCAAGCGUUGUCCGGAAUUAUUGGGCGUAAAGAGCUCGUAGGCGGUUUGUCGCGUCUGCUGUGAAAUCUGGGGGCUCAACCCCCAGCCUGCAGUGGGUACGGGCAGACUAGAGUGCGGUAGGGGAGAUUGGAAUUCCUGGUGUAGCGGUGGAAUGCGCAGAUAUCAGGAGGAACACCGAUGGCGAAGGCAGAUCUCUGGGCCGUAACUGACGCUGAGGAGCGAAAGCGUGGGGAGCGAACAGGAUUAGAUACCCUGGUAGUCCACGCCGUAAACGUUGGGAACUAGAUGUGGGGACCAUUCCACGGUCUCCGUGUCGCAGCUAACGCAUUAAGUUCC
rnacentral:rRNA from 1 species